UGAGCUUGUGGUCACACCGACAACUCACAAAAAAUAUUCGUUAAAAAUUUUGUGCUACAGUUCAAUUGAAAAAAAAACAUGCCAAAAUUUAAAUAAAGGCGUUAUCCGACGCGCAUGCGGCUAGAUGCGGGUUCUCGAGAAGACAACGAGAACGGGGAUAUAACAAUGGAGACCAAUAACAAUGGAGGCAAUGGGAUGUUGUUGACUCAGCUGGAACAGAAGGAAGAGACUGAAAAUGUAACUAAAAUGAAACUGACGCAACUUGAGCAGCAAAACAAGCAGCUGCAAAGAAUAAAGCUUAAUACAUUCCGAUGUUAAUAAAUUCGUUCAAUACUAAUUUUAACCAUGUCUUAAAGGUUGAGCUAUCAGCAUUAAAAAACGAAUUCCAACAGCUAAAGAAUAACUUUUUUGCAAAGGUCAAGGACUGUGCCCUAUGCGAAAAUAAAGUAGCCGAUUUGGAAAUGAAGUUGCAAGAGAGUGCAAAGUUAAAUUUUGAGAUGGAACAAAAACUUGCCCAGGCUGAGGCAAGUUAUAUUAAAAUGCGGCAACAAUUUGAGAGCAUUAUAGUGGGAUCUUAUGAUAGAUCGAUAGCACAUCAUAGACAGUCACAAAUAUCGCAAGAGUGUGACAGGCAACAAUUCCUCGACGACAUUAAUCACGAAGCUGCUAAGGAUAGAGAUAAGAUAAGAUAACAAAGCCAAGACCAAUGGCACCCAGCAACAGUAGAUGCAGCCUGUUCAUACAGCGGAAAUUGAUGCUGCGUCCGCCGAUAGUAUUUCAAAUACAGCAAUUACUACAGGGCCAUCAUCAUCCUCAUCAACGGAACCAGCUGCAACUGCAAAAUCAGUCAGACGUAGACGAAUUUAAUUUAAAAAAGUCAAUACAUUAAGGCUUUCAUGUGCCAAUGUAACCUCCUUUAAGCACUGCUAUAUAAGCAUCAAGUUCUGAAAAGUUAAAUGCUUAAGCAAUACAUUAAAGAUGGAAGCCCUAUUUGAUUAAUGGAGCUUUCGGCUGGAAGCUUGCUAGCCGGGAAGCCCAUGUCUACCACACAAGCGGAUGGCUUCCGAAAUACAAUCAUGUGUGUGUCUUUGGCAGAAGAAGCUGGAGAUGGAGAACACCAGUUGGGUGGAACACUUUGCGCGUCACACCGGCGAAUUAAUGUACUAUCGAGAAUCCUAUCCAGCUCCCGUCCAGAACCACUUGAGAAUUGCAACAGGCGAAAAAAUAAAAUUUACUGUUUACGUUUUUAAUUUAUGUAAACAAACCUGCAGUUAUGCCAUACAAAUUUGGAGAACAAAAUGUUGCAUACUUUCAAGCUGAUCAUUCAAGAACAUAAAAAACAAGAAGGCUACAGUCAAGUGUGCUAAACUCUGAGACCCCCCGCUUCCCAACGGUAUUGGGUAUAAAGAGUCCGUAGUAAGAGGUGUUAGACCAUAUGUAUAUUGUGAAAAUAUUUUUAAGGUAUACUUAAUAAUUAUUUUAUGGAAUCUUGCAUGUUCUUAAAACUUAAAGCCACUGCACUAUGGGGCAUUUUCCAAUUUAGCUGGCAUUUAGUCGUUUUUGAAAAAUGUUCCAAUUAGAAAAAUUUUAAUGUCAAUGCAUUAACAGAACAUCAAACUUUUAUGGCUCAUACCAAAAACAUGUACAUAUAUCUAACAGCUCUUUUGAGCAUAACAGCUGUAAAGUCAGCUGUUGCAUCCGAAAGCACGCGAGUUAUGUUAACAUUUAAUUAAAUAAAAUUAAUGUUUUUUUUUUGUAACUUCAGUUUAUUUUCUUCACGUUGUGUUCUUGUUCGCGUCUGCUCACCAAGUCAAAAGCUUUUUGUGUCUUCUUCGUAGUCGACAGAGCUUGUGAUCUCUCUCUCUCUGACUUGUUAAAUGCAUGAUACAAUUAUACAAGGUAGUCUCGUCGGAAAAAGCUGUCCGACUUUAAACAAAACAAUGAGUGCGAGUGAAAGAGUCUCAGCACAGCAGUGUGAGCGAGACGACAAUGAAAUGCGCAUUAACCCUUAGACGAUGAUAUUAAUAUUUACAUAAUUUGAAGCUAAUAUUAAUGUCUUUUUGACAUAUUUCUAAAAUGUAAGUUGUUUAUGAAUAAUAUUAACAAUAUAUAUGAGAAUUCUCUAAUUCUCGAAAUGUUUUAAUUCUAUCCGUAUCUACGGCAUACAUUGCAAAAUGUGAUUUUGCACAAGGGUUAAUUGCAGAAAAAAAAUCGUCCGCAGACAACCUCUUGCGUCGAAAUACGAAUGCGUACUGACGGAAGCUUUUUCCGACGAGACUACCUUGUAUAAUUGUAUCAUGGUUAAAUGUAAACGAAGAGAAUGAAAGCUUCGAGUACAUAACUCGCGCGCUAAGUUGGCAUAUUUUUUUUCAGUGAACUUUGUUAUUCAUUUAUUUAUGUUG